AGUGCUUCUCAGCCUUUUGGCUAUCAAGUGUAAUAUCUGUUCUUAUCAGUUUAAUAUCUGAUACAUCCUUUAUCUGAGGACAUUAUAUUAAGUGGAGUUUUGCAGCAGAGAGAUGGAAUGGGAGGGAGCUUGUUCUGUCCACUCCACACAUUGACCCAGUAUUGCAGUAUCUUUGGGAACAGUGCAGGAAAA